rnacentral:lncRNA from 1 species
AGAAGGGGUGGACCCGCCACCUGUCCCGGAAUAUGGCAUGAGGGGAGAUCUGCUCCUGACCUUUGUUUUUAUCUCUGCAUCUCACCCCUGAAGCUAACAUAAAGUGCAACAGAAGCCAGAUCUACUUGAACAAGCCCACACAGAAGUCAGAAGGCUUCCCUGCAGAGUUGACCACGGCUCACACAGACUUCCCUCAGGAAAGGAAACCAAGGAGAUCCCCUUUCAUUUACAGUUUCUCAAGAACCAGAAGAUUGACCGUAAAUGAACACCAGGCUUAUAUGAGUACAAAGAAGGAGGCAAGAGAAAAUAAGAAUGACAAUGAAAAUGCCUCAAAGACACUAGUGGGAGCCCAUCACUGCUUCUCUGGGAGACCUCCACAGCUUACUAGUGCAAAAAGGAAAGCAGCCAAUGAUCUUGGAUGUCCCAUCUGAGACAUCUGACUUCCAGAAGAGAAUGUCAGGAAUUUCCAAAGAAUCAAACCCCCAUACCCAGCAUAUGUUUUGUACUGACACCGGAAACAAAUGGUCACUUGGAAGGAGGCUUCUGUUUUCUCAACACUCCUAAAUAACUCUGAAUGUUCUGAUGAGGAAGUGAGGUGUUCACCAGAAAACUGGAAACUAUUCAGAAAUGCCAGGCACCAGAAAAGAACAUUAAAAAAAGCC